ensembl:lncRNA
AUACAAACAUGAAAUAAUUAAAAUGUGCAUCAAAUUAAAAUAAUUGGAUCUAUGAAUCUUGUCUCACAUCCUGAUGAUCCUCCUCACGUCUCUUCUCCUUGUCUGCAGACCAACGGGACGCCAUCAGGACGCCACGUCAACGGGACGCCAUCAGGACGUCACAUCAACCCCUCAGGAGCAAAUCCAGAUCUACGCAUGACACCCCCCCCCCCCCACACACACACACACACACACACACACACACACACACACACAGAUGUACACACAGACACACUAUCAUUUGGUUCUAAACAAUGACACACACUAAUAUUUAGAUGUACACAAAGACACAAUAACCAUUAGAUGUACACACAGACACACUAACAAUGAGAUCUACACACAGACACACUAUCAUUUGGUUCUAAACAAUGACACACACUAAUAUUUAGAUGUACACAAAGACAAUAACAAUUAGAUGUACACACAGACACACUAACAAUUAGAUGUACACACAGACACACUAACAUUUGGUUCUAAACACAGACACACACUAAUAUUUAGAUGUACUCAAAGACAACAAUUAGAUGUACACACAGACACACUAACAAUUAGAUCCACACACAGACACACUAACAAUUAGAUGUACACACAGACACACUAACAUUUGGUUCUAAACAAAGACACACACUAACAUUUAGAUGUACACAAAGACACAUUAAUAUUUAAAUGUACACAAAGACACAAUAACAAUUAGAUGUACACAAAGACACAAUAACCAUUAGAUGUACACACAGACACACUAACAAUGAGAUCUACACACAGACACACUAUCAUUUGGUUCCAAACAAUGACACACACUAAUAUUUAGAUGUACACAAAGACACACUAACAUUUGGUUCUAAACAAAGACACACACUAACAUUUAGAUGUACACAAAGACACAUUAAUAUUUAGAUGUACACACAGACACACUAACAAUUAGAUCUACACACAGACACACUAACAAUUAGAUGUACACACGGACACAUCCUGAUGACCAUCCUCACGUCUCUUCUCCUUGUCUGCAGACCAACAGGACGCCAUCAGGACGCCACGCCAUCGGGACGUCAUCAGGAUUCCAUCAGGACGCCAUCAGGACGCCGCGUCAACCCCUCAGGAGCAAAUCCAGAUCUACUCAUGACACACACAGACACACACACAGGUGUACUCAGAGACACACUAACAUUUAGACACGCUGGCAAAUUUAGAUGUACACACAAACACACUAACAUUUGGUUCUAAACAAAGACACACACUAACAUUUAGAUGUACACAAAGACACAUUAAUAUUUAGAUGUACACACAGACACACUAACAAUUAGAUGUACACACAGACACACUAUCAUUUGGUUCUAAACAAAGACACACACUAAUAUUUAGAUGUACACAAAGACACAAUAACAGUUAGAUGUACACACAGACACACUAUCAUUUGAUUCUAAACAAUGACACACACUAACAUUUAGAUGUACACAAAGACACACACUAAUAUUUAGAUGUACACAAAGACACAAUAACAAUUAGAUGUACACACAGACACAUCCUGAUGAUCCUCCUCAUGUCUCUUCUCCUUGUCUGCAGACCAACAGGACGCCAUCAGGACGCCACGUCAUCGGGACGCCAUCAGGACACCACGUCAUCGGGACGCCAUCAGGACGCCGCGUCAACCCCUCAGGAGCAAAUGCAGAUCUACUCAUGACACACACACACACACACAGAUGAACUCACAGACACACUAACAUUUGGUUGUAAACGAAGACACACUAAUAUUUAGAUGUGCACAAAGACAUAUUAAUAUUUAGAUGUACACACAGACACACUAACAUUUAGAUGUACACACAGACACACUAACAAUUAGAUGUACACACAGACACACUCAUUUGGUUUUAAACAAAGACACACACUGAUAUUUAGAUGUACACAAAGACACAAUAACAAUUAGAUCUACACACAGACACACUAACAAUUAGAUGUACACACGGACACACUAACAAUUAGAUCUACACACAUACACACUAACAAUUAGAUGUACACACAGACACAUCCUGAUGACCAUCCUCACGUCUCUUCUCCUUGUCUGCAGACCAACAGGACGCCAUCAGGACGCCACGUCAUCGGGACGCUACGUCAUCGGGACACCAUCAGGACGCUAUCAGGACGCCACGUCAUAGGGACGCCAUAAGGAUUCCAUCAGGACGCCAUCAGGACGCCGCGUCAACCCCUCAGGAGCAAAUCCAGAUCUACUCAUGACACACACACACACCCCCACACACACGCACACACACACAGAUGUACUCAGAGACACACUAACAUUUAGACACGCUGGCAAAUUUAGAUGUACAAUUAGAUGUACACACAGACACACUAACAUUUGGUUCUAAACAAAGACACACACUAACAUUUAGAUGUACACAAAGACACAUUAAUAUUUAGAUGUACACACAGACACACUAACAAUUAGAUGUACACACAGACACUAUCAUUUGGUUCUAAACAAUGACACACACUAAUAUUUAGAUGUACACAAAGACACAAUAACAAUUAGAUGUACACACAGACACACUAACAGUUAGAUCUACACACAGACACACUAACAAUUAGAUGUACACACAGACACACUAACAUUUGGUUCUAAACAAAGACACACUAACAUUUAGAUGUACACAAAGACACAUUAAUAUUUAGAUGUACACACAGACGCACUAACAAUUAGAUGUACACACACACACUAACAUUUGGUUCUAAACAAAGACACACACUAACAUUUAGAUGUACACAAAGACACAAUAACAAUUUGAUUUACACACAGACACACUAACAAUUAGAUGUACACACAGAGACAUCCUGAUGAUCUUCCUCAUGUCUCUUCUCCUUGUCUGCAGACCAACAGGACGCCAUCAGGACGCCACGCCAUCGGGACGCCAUCAGGACACCACAUCAUCGGGACACCAUCAGGACACCACGUCAUCGGGACGCCAUCAGGACGCCUAACAAUUAGAUGAACUGCUUCAGAUGUUUUCCCAAUGAUUGUGUUAUUAUUAUUGUUAAAUAUGUCGUCUGUUUAUUAUUUUAACAAUGAAAAUACAUUUUAAUAAAAAUAAAACCAAAU